rnacentral:rRNA from 1 species
AGCGAACGCUGGCGGCGUGCCUAACACAUGCAAGUCGAACGUGAAAUGGGGCAACCCAAAGUAAAGUGGCGUACGGGUGAGUAACACGUAGGUAAUCUACCGAAGAGUCUGGAAUAACUGGCCGAAAGGCUGGCUAAUACUGGAUAGAGCGACGGGACUCGUGAUCGAGUCUUUCGGGAAAGGGAGGCAGCAAUGCCCUUCGAUCUCCGAUGAGCCGGCGUCUCAUUAGCCAGUUGGUGGGGUAAUGGCCCACCAAGGCAUUGAUGAGUAGCUGGGUUGAGAGAAUGAUCAGCCACACUGGAACUGAAACACGGUCCAGACUCCUACGGGAGGCAGCAGUGGGGAAUCUUGCGCAAUGGACGAAAGUCUGACGCAGCCACGCCGCGUGAGUGAAGAAGGCCUUCGGGUUGUAAAGCUCUGUCGGGAGGGACGAACAUUCUUUGGGUUAACAGCCCAAGGAACUGACGGUACCUUCAAAGGAAGCACCGGCUAACUCUGUGCCAGCAGCCGCCGUAAUAC